rnacentral:rRNA from 1 species
AGAGUUUGAUCAUGGCUCAGAACGUACGCUGGCGGCACGCCUAACACAUGCAAGUCGAACGAAGUAGCAAUACUUAGUGGCAGACGGGUGAGUAACAUGUAGGUAUCUGCCCUUUGGCCUGGAAUAACACGAGGAAACUUGUGCUAAUACCGGAUAAGUCUUUACGGAGAAAGCUUUAUGCACCAUUGGAUGAGCCUGCACUUGAUUAGUUUGUUGGUGGGGUAAUGGCCUACCAAGACUGUGAUCAAUAGCUGAUUUGAGAGGAUGAUCAGCCACAUUGGGACUGAGACACGGCCCAAACUCCUACGGGAGGCAGCAGUGGGGAAUCUUGCACAAUGGAGGAAACUCUGAUGCAGCGAUGCCGCGUGAGUGAAGAAGGCCCUUGGGUUGUAAAGCUCUUUCGUCGGGGAAGAAAAUGACUGUACCCGAAUAAGAAGGUCCGGCUAACUUCGUGCCAGCAGCCGCGGUAAUACGAAGGGACCUAGCGUAGUUCGGAAUUACUGGGCUUAAAGAGUUCGUAGAUGGUUGAAAAAGUUAGUGGUGAAAUCCCAGAGCUUAACUCUGGAACUGCCAUUAAAACUUUUCAGCUAGAGUAUGAUAGAGGAAAGCAGAAUUUCUAGUGUAGAGGUGAAAUUCGUAGAUAUUAGAAAGAAUACCAAUUGCGAAGGCAGCUUUCUGGAUCAUUACUGACACUGAGGAACGAAAGCAUGGGUAGCGAAGAGGAUUAGAUACCCUCGUAGUCCAUGCCGUAAACGAUGUGUGUUAGACGUUGGAAAUUUAUUUUCAGUGUCGCAGGGAAACCGAUAAACACACCGCCUGGGGAGUACGACCGCAAGGUUAAAACUCAAAUGAAUUGACGGGGACCCGCACAAGUAGUGGAGCAUGUGGUUUAAUUCGAAGAUACGCGCAGAACCUUACCAACACUUGACAUGUUCGUCGCGACUCUAAGAGAUUAGAGUUUUCGGUUCGGCCGGACGAAACACAGGUGCUGCAUGGCUGUCGUCAGCUCGUGUCGUGAGAUGUUGGGUUAAGUCCCGCAACGAGCGCAACCCUCACUUUUAGUUGCCAUCAUUAAGUUGGGCACUCUGAAAGAACUGCCAGUGAUAAGCUGGAGGAAGGUGGGGAUGACGUCAAGUCCUCAUGGCCCUUACGUGUUGGGCUACACACGUGCUACAAUGGUAUCUACAACAGGAAGCAAGACUGCGAAGUUAAGCAAAUCCCUAAAAGAUACCUCAGUUCGGAUUGCACUCUGCAACUCGAGUGCAUGAAGCUGGAAUUACUAGUAAUCGUGGAUCAGCGUGCCACGGUGAAUGCGUUCCCGGGUCUUGUACACACCGCCCGUCACACCAUGGGAGUUGGUUCUACCUUAAGGCAAGGUUUCAAACCCUUGACCACGGUAUAGUCAGCGACUGGGGUUAAGUCGUAACAAGGUA